AUUGAACGCUGGCGGCAGGCUUAACACAUGCAAGUCGAGCGCCCCGCAAGGGGAGCGGCAGACGGGUGAGUAACGCGUGGGAAUCUACCCAUCUCUACGGAAUAACGCAUGGAAACGUGUGCUAAUACCGUAUACGUCCUUCGGGAGAAAGAUUUAUCGGAGAUGGAUGAGCCCGCGUUGGAUUAGCUAGUUGGUGGGGUAAAGGCCUACCAAGGCGACGAUCCAUAGCUGGUCUGAGAGGAUGAUCAGCCACACUGGGACUGAGACACGGCCCAGACUCCUACGGGAGGCAGCAGUGGGGAAUAUUGGACAAUGGGCGCAAGCCUGAUCCGGCCAUGCCGCGUGAGUGAUGAAGGCCCUAGGGUUGUAAAGCUCUUUCACCGGUGAAGAUAAUGACGGUAACCGGAGAAAAAGCCCCGGCUAACUUCGUGCCAGCCGCCGCCGUAAGAC
rnacentral:rRNA from 1 species